GGCCAAGUAGCUCAGUUGGUUAAAGCAUUGUCUUAGUACAUCAAAGGUUUUGGGUUCAAUUCCCAGUCAGGGCA
rnacentral:tRNA from 1 species